UACGUAGGGUGCGAGCGUUAAUCGGAAUUACUGGGCGUAAAGCGCGCGUAGGCGGACCUGCAAGUCGGGGGUGAAAGCCCGAGGCUCAACCUCGGAACUGCCUUCGAUACUGCGGGUCUCGAGUCCGGGAGAGGUGAGUGGAAUUCCUAGUGUAGAGGUGAAAUUCGUAGAUAUUAGGAAGAACACCAGUGGCGAAGGCGGCUCAGCUGGCCCGGUACUGACGCUGAGGCGCGAAAGCGUGGGGAGCAAACAGG
rnacentral:rRNA from 1 species